rnacentral:lncRNA from 1 species
AAAAAGGAAGUAUGUUUGUAUAAUUUUCAAAAGAUUUUUGAAAAUGAAAGUAGAGCAUUUGUUUCUUACAAACAUGUAAACGGCACUGAAAGAGGCCAAUAACAAAGACUGUACAUAAGGGCCUAUUAGCUGAGCUAAUAGUUUAAGAUAUCUUACCAACUCAUAAUGGGUUGCUUAAUAAUAUAAUAAUAGUAUUUAAGGAGAUAAUUUGGGUAAGAGACUUAUCUAAGCAACUUGACAUUUUUCCUCCUCCAUUGCAAGACUCUUAUUUUAGGGUGCUUAAAAUUUUUAAAGAUUCUUUUGCCAAUAUUAUGUUCUUCAAAGGAGACAAUUCAAUACACAAAACAUACGGCAAGAGAGGAGAAGAGAAGAAGAGUAUUCACUUGUUAGAAUCCGGCCAUCCUCCAGGGAAUAAGAAGACCACCUCCUCAAACCCCAAGAAGUUAUCUGCAUUUCCAUCAUAAACAAAAAGCAAACAAUCUCUAAGAGCAUCAUUAUCUUACCAACUCAUAAUGGGUUGCUUAAUAAUAUAAUAAUAGUAUUUAAGGAGAUAAUUUGGGUAAGAGACUUAGCUAAGCAACUUGACAUUUUUCCUCCUCCAUUGCAAGGCUCUUAUUUUAGGGUGCUUAAAAUUUUUAAAGAUUCUUUUGCCAAUAUUAUGUUCUUCAAAGGAGACAAUUCAAUACACAAAACAUACGGCAAGAGAGGAGAAGAGAAGAAGAGUAUUCACUUGUUAGAAUCCGACCAUCCUUCAGGGAAUAAGAAGACCACCUCCUCAAACCCCAAGAAGUUAUCUGCAUUUCCAUCAUAAACAAAAAGCAAACAAUCUCUAAGAGCAUCAUUAUCCUACCAACUCAUAAUGGGUUGCUUAAUAAUAUAAUAAUAGUAUCUAAGGAGAUAAUUUGGGUAAGAGACUUAGCUAAGCAACUUGACAUUUUUCCUCCUCCAUUGCAAGGCUCUUAUUUUAGGGUGCUUAAAAUUUUUAAAGAUUCUUUUGCCAAUAUUAUGUUCUUCAAAGGAGACAAUUCAAUACACAAAACAUACGGCAAGAGAGGAGAAGAGAAGAAGAGUAUUCACUUGUUAGAAUCCGGCCAUCCUCCAGGGAAUAAGAAGACCACCUCCUCAAACCCCAAGAAGUUAUCUGCAUUUCCAUCAUAAACAAAAAGCAAACAAUCUCUAAGAGCAUCAUUAUCCUACCAACUCAUAAUGGGUUGCUUAAUAAUAUAAUAAUAGUAUUUAAGGAGAUAAUUUGGGUAAGAGACUUAGCUAAGCAACUUGACAUUUUUCCUCCUCCAUUGCAAGGCUCUUAUUUUAGGGUGCUUAAAAUUUUUAAAGAUUCUUUUGCCAAUAUUAUGUUCUUCAAAGGAGACAAUUCAAUACACAAAACAUACGGCAAGAGAGGAGAAGAGAAGAAGAGUAUUCACUUGUUAGAAUCCGGCCAUCCUCCAGGGAAUAAGA